CGGCGAGUGAAGCGGCAACAGCUCAAAUUUGAAAUCUGGCUCUCGGGCCCGAGUUGUAAUUUGUAGAGGAUGCUUUUGGUGAGGUGCCUUCCGAGUUCCCUGGAACGGGACGCCAUAGAGGGUGAGAGCCCCGUCUGGUUGGACGCCGAACCUCUGUAAAGCUCCUUCGACGAGUCGAGUAGUUUGGGAAUGCUGCUCUAAAUGGGAGGUAUAUGUCUUCUAAAGCUAAAUACCGGCCAGAGACCGAUAGCGCACAAGUAGAGUGAUCGAAAGAUGAAAAGAACUUUGAAAAGAGAGUUAAACAGUACGUGAAAUUGUUGAAAGGGAAGCGCUUGUGACCAGACUUGGGCUUGGUUGAUCAUCCGGGGUUCUCCCCGGUGCACUCUUCCGGCCCAGGCCAGCAUCAGUUCGCCCUGGGGGACAAAGGCUUCGGGAACGUGGCUCUCUCCGGGGAGUGUUAUAGCCCGUUGCGUAAUACCCUGUGGCGGACUGAGGUUCGCGCAUUCGCAAGGAUGCUGGCGUAAUGGUCAUCAGUGACCCGUCUUGAAACACGGACCAAGGAGUCGUCUUCGUAUGCGAGUGUUCGGGUGUCAAACCCCUACGCGAAAUGAAAGUGAACGCAGGUGAGAGCUUCGGCGCAUCAUCGACCGAUCCUGAUGUUAUCGGAUGGAUUUGAGUAAGAGCAUACGGGGCCGGACCCGAAAGAAGGUGAACUAUGCCUGUGUAGGGUGAAGCCAGAGGAAACUCUGGUGGAGGCUCGCAGCGGUUCUGACGUGCAAAUCGAUCGUCAAACAUGGGCAUG
rnacentral:rRNA from 1 species